rnacentral:tRNA from 1 species
GGGGAAGUAGCUCAGUUGGUUAGAGCGCUUCGUUUACACCGAAGAGGCCAGGGGUUCGAUUCCUCUCUUCCCCA